UUGACGGGGCCGCACAAGCGGCGGAGCAUGCGGAUUAAUUCGAUGCAACGCGAAGAACCUUACCAAGGCUUGACAUACACCGGUAACGCCCAGAGAUGGGUGCCCCUUUGUGGUCGGUGGUACAGGUGGUGCAUGGUUGUCGUCAGCUCGUGUCGUGAGAUGUUGGGUUAAGUCCCGCAACGAGCGCAACCCUCGUCCUAUGUUGCCAGCGGGUCAUGCCGGGGACUCAUGGGAGACUGCCGGGGUCAACUCGGAGGAAGGUGGGGAUGACGUCAAAUCAUCAUGCCCCUUAUGUCUUGGGCUUCACGCAUGCUACAAUGGCCGGUACAAAGGGCUGCGAUACCGCGAGGUGGAGCGAAUCCCAGAAAGCCGGUCUCAGUUCGGAUUGGGGUCUGCAACUCGACCCCAUGAAGUCGGAGUCGCUAGUAAUCGCAGAUCAGCAACGCUGCGGUGAAUACGUUCCCGGGCCUU
rnacentral:rRNA from 1 species